rnacentral:lncRNA from 1 species
AACAAAAAGCAAGAGAGGAAUUAAUUCAGGUUCCACAAGGAGGAAACCAUCGUGUUGUGAUUGAAGAUAAAUUGAUCUCUGAUGAAGAAGAAUCCAUGGAGGAAGAGAGUGGACAAAGAAAUCUACACAAUAAUCAUGAUUCUCGCAUGGAUGCUGAUGAAGAAUUCAAGAAAGACGAGAUAGUUGAUAGAGAUAAUCAACAAAGCAAUCAUGACUAUCAGAUGAAGACU